UAUGUACCCACUGACUGGUCUGUGUUUUUGGAUGAGUUCUUUCGUGGAGAAUGGGCUGGAAACGAUGGCUCUCAUCUCUAAUUUUCUUGGUCUGUCAUCCGAUCCUACUUUCCUGCAAGCUGUCUACAACGAAUGCUCCUUCAGAGAAGUGCAAAAGAGAAGGAAGGGCAAGUCUGAUGAAUUUAUUUAUAGGAAAGGCACUGUGGGUGAUUGGAAAUCACGUUUUACUGUUGCUCAAAGCGAGAAAUUUGAUCUCAUUUUCAAGGAAAACAUGAAAGAUACGAAGUUAAAAAUACAUUUAAAUUAAUUUGUAGAAAAUAUUACCAUUGCCAAUCUUAUAUUCCGGAGUGGAUGAACUGUCAUAUGAAAUUUAAAACAUUGCAUAAAAUAUUUCGGUUAUGCUCUCAUACUGGAAUUAUAACCACAUGCUUAGCGUAAAGCUACACAAACUACAAACUACAUGAGGCUACACACGGGAAAUAAUAAAACUUGAUUAAAAUUAAAAAUAAAUAGGAUUCACUCGUCUUCAUAAAAACAGUUAUUAAAAUUACUUUCAUAUAUUACGAAAAAUUAUAAAAGACAACAAGUCGGAUCCUAGAAUACCUUUGAAUUAUCGUGGAAUCAGUCUUUUAUCUGUGGUACAUGUAGCUAAAAUCUUCGAAAUAGUCUCUUCAAAACCCUGUAUGGGCUGGAGGAGUACGUCAAUAUAUUCUUACCUAAAUCUAUACGAUCAGUGAUGGCAAUGUUUCUUUGCGGUGUACUACCGCUUCGAGUUGAAAUUGGACACUAAAAAUUUGAGACACCUCAAGACAGAAUUUGGAAAUUUUGCAACAAAAAUGAAAUUGAACACGAAAUAUAUUAUUUUUACUACAUUGCAAAUUAUAUGAAAAUAAGAGAAAAGACGUCUUCCGCAAAAUAGGAUUUAAUACGUGCUCAAAUGUGUCAUUUCAUAAUACAUUAUUUUCUCAUAUUCUAUGUAAAUUUCCCAGGAAAUCUGCUACUUAUAUAUUUGAUGCUUUUAAAACCCGCCAGAACUUCACGAGAAGGAUAUUCUAAUAUCACUAUCUUCAUUCAUGCGUUUAUUUCUGUGUUGUCAAAAUAUCAACUCUGGCAUAUAAGUCCUUUGGGCCGGAUGUAAGAAACUAAAUCUAUUGUUGUAAAAUAUGUGGUGUAAUCGUAUAUCAAUACAUGCCACUUUAAUGAAAAAUUCUUUGCUUACAUGUACUUUCUCAGGUACUCCUUUAGUCGUUUCGAUUUAUUGUCUGUAAAAUGUGCCUAAUGCAUGAUAUAGAAAAUGCAAGACAUUUAUUUAUACAUAACGACGUUCAUUAUAGCAGAUUUAAUCGAAGUAUUGAACGACUUAUACAAGAAAAAUAUAAGCCUUUUUAAUUUGGAUACAGAUGUACUUUUGUCACUAUCAAAUGCCAUAUGUUAACUAGUUUUUGGUAUAGAUAUCGUUAAGAAGGACAAUAAAUUUUCCAUGAGUAUUCACAUUUUCAAUGUUUUUAUCAAAUCAAAAACAAAACAAACACGCAAACAAAGAAAACCCAAAUUAAAAAAAACACAUGCAUUUUGUUACUACAAAAUGUAUGCUUAUUUUUUUAUUUACUGAGACUGCAUGCAUACAGACUGCACCGCAUUACAUUUGUUUUAUUUGCAAAAUAAUUAAAUCCAUUAAUCGCAAACAGUUUCCACCCAAAAUGCAUGUGUUAUGCAUGUUGGUCUUUUUCUAUUGUUUUAUUAA